rnacentral:rRNA from 1 species
GUGCAGCGCGCGGUAAUACUGAGGGUGCAAGCGUUGUCCGGAAUCACUGGGUGUAAAGGGUGUGCAGUCGGGGCAACAAGUCGGAGGUGAAAGCCCAUGGCUCAACCAUGGAAGUGCCUUCGAAACUGUUGCUCUUGAGUCCCGGAGAGGUUGUCGGAAUUCGUGGUGUAGCGGUGAAAUGCGUAGAUAUCACGAGGAACACCAGAGGCGAAAGCGGACAACUGGACGGGUACUGACGCUCAGGCACGAAAGCGUGGGGAGCAAACAGGAUUAGAAACCCCGGUAGUCC